UGGGGAAUCUUGCGCAAUGGGCGAAAGCCUGACGCAGCGACGCCGCGUGAGGGAUGACGGCCUUCGGGUUGUAAACCUCUUUCAGCCCUGACGAAGCGAAAGUGACGGUAGGGGCAGAAGAAGCACCGGCCAACUACGUGCCAGCAGCCGCGGUAAUACGUAGGGUGCAAGCGUUGUCCGGAAUUAUUGGGCGUAAAGAGCUCGUAGGCGGUCUGUCGCGUCGGCUGUGAAAACUCGGGGCUCAACUCCGAGCUUGCAGUCGAUACGGGCAGGCUAGAGUGCGGCAGGGGAGACUGGAAUUCCUGGUGUAGCGGUGAAAUGCGCAGAUAUCAGGAGGAACACCGGUGGCGAAGGC
rnacentral:rRNA from 1 species